rnacentral:snoRNA from 1 species
CGCAAGCGGUGAUGAAGAUGGCUUCAUGUCACUGUCCUGAAAAAACCAUGUGGGUCAUUUAGUCACUAUCUCUUCUGAGCUUGGU